rnacentral:rRNA from 1 species
AGUGAACGCUGGCGGUAGGCCUAACACAUGCAAGUCGAACGGCAGCACAGUAAGAGCUUGCUCUUACGGGUGGCGAGUGGCGGACGGGUGAGGAAUACACCGGAAUCUACUUUUUCGCGGGGGAUAACGUAGGGAAACAUACGCUAAUACCGCAUACGACCUACGGGUGAAAGCAGGGGAUCUUCGCACCUUGCGCGAUUGAAUGAGCGGAUGUCGGAUUAGCUAGUUGGCGGGGUAAGGGCCCACCAAGGCGAGGAUCCGUAGCUGGUCUGAGAGAAUGAUCAGCGACACUGGAAGUGGAAGACGGGCCAGACUCCUACUGGGGGACGCAGUGGGGAAUAUUGGACAAUGGGCGCAAGCCUGAUCCAGCCAUACCGCGUGGGUUAAGAAGGCCUUCGGGUUGGAAAGCCCAUUGGUUGGGAAAGAAGAGCAGCAGGUUAAGACGCCGCUGUUCUGACGGUACCUGGAGAAUAAGCACCGGCUAACUUCGUG